rnacentral:rRNA from 1 species
GACGAACGCUGGCGGCGUGCCUAAUACAUGCAAGUCGAGCGAACAGAUGAAGUGCUUGCACUUCUGACGUUAGCGGCGAACGGGUGAGUAACACGUAAGGAAUCUACCUAUAAGCGGGGGAUAACAUUCGGAAACGGGUGCUAAUACCGCAUAAUAUCUUCUUCCGCAUGGAAGAAGAUUGAAAGACGGCUCUGCUGUCACUUAUAGAUGACCUUGCGGUGCACGAGUUAGUUGGUGGGGUAAUGGCCUACCAAGACAAUGAUGCAUAGCCGACCUGAGAGGGUGAUCGGCCACAUUGGGACUGAGACACGGCCCAAACUCCUACGGGGUGCAGCAGUAGGGAAUCUUCCGCAAUGGGCGAAAGCCUGACGGAGCAAUGCCGCGUGAGUGAAGAAGGCCUUCGGGUCGUAAAACUCUGUUAUAAGAGAAGAACAAAUUGUAGAGUAACUGCUACAGUCUUGACGGUAUCUUAUCAGAAAGCCACGGCUAACUACGUGCCAGCCGCCGCCGUAA